GGGGUUGUGGCUCAGUGGUAGAGCACUCGCCUCACAGUGCGAGACCCUAGGUUUGAUCCUCAGCACCACA
rnacentral:tRNA from 1 species